GAUGAACGCUAGCGGCAGGCCUAAUACAUGCAAGUCGAACGGUGUCUUCGGACAUAGUGGCGCACGGGUGCGUAACACGUAUGCAACCUACCUUACAUUGGGGGAUAGCCUUUCGAAAGGGAGAUUAAUACCGCAUAAGACAGUAGCUGGGCAUCCAGCAGCUGUUAAAGAUUUAUCGAUGCAAGCUGGGCAUGCGUCCAAUUAGCUAGUUGGUGAGGUAACGGCUCACCAAGGCAAUGAUUGGUAGGGGAACUGAGAGGUCAAUCCCCCACACUGGCACUGGGAUACGGGCCAGACUCCUACGGGAGGCAGCAGUAGGAACUAUUGGGCAAUGGACGCAAGUCCGACCCAACCAUGCCGCGCGCAGGAUGAAGGCGUUAUGCGUUGUAAACUGCUUUUAUACAGGAAGAAACGACUCUUGCGAGAGGCAUUGACGGUACUGUAUGAAUAAGCACCGGCUAACUCCGUGCCAGCAGCCGCAGUAAGAC
rnacentral:rRNA from 1 species